AUGGCAAAAGUCUUCUUUCUGGACUUUCUGGCUGAAUGCAUCCAUGAUCUUCGGAUAUUUGUUAGGGAUGUCGCUGGACCCCUGCCCCGUGAAGAUGCCUGCCGUCCGCCGGGCCCGCAGUUACUGCCGCGGCCUGGUGCGCUUCUUCGACGAGAACUCUGCUAAGCCCCGCUCUGCGGCAGACAGGCAGGAGUAGACACCCGGACACCCAGCUCCCCUCCUCCGGGGGGCGGUGGGGAGGGGGCGCGGGAGCCCCUCGACCACGGCGGGCCGCCCCACCAGCAGGGCAGAAACUGAGGAAGACUGUCAUUCCGAUACUGUCAGAGCAGAUGAUGAUGAUGAAAAUGAAGUCCUGUUGAAACAGAUCUUCAGGCACAACUACAGAUGUUCCGAGCUCAGUGGAUGUUUGAACUCGCCCCGGGUGGAGGCUCUAGCAACUGAGAAAACCGACCUUGCAGAGCCACCAGAGGCUCUCAACAGAAAGCAGCAACAGAUACCAAAGGAAAACAAGAGCAGGCAAAAGAAGAAAAGGCUCGAGAACUCUUCCUAAAAGCAGUUGAAGAAGAACAAAAUGGAGCUCUCUACGAAGCCAUCAAGUUUUAUCAUAGGGCUAUGCAACUUGUACCUGAUAUAGAGUUCAAGAUUACUUAUACCCGGUCUCCUGAUGGUGAGGACAUUGGAAACAGUUACCUUGAAGAUAAUGAUGAUGACAGCAAGAUGGCAGAUCUCUUGUCCUGCUUCCAGCAGCAGCUCAUGUUCCAGGAAUCUGCGCUCAAACUGUGUCAGCCUGAGCUUGAGAGCAGUCAGGCUCACAUAUCAGUGCUGCCAAUGGAGGUCCUGAUGUACAUCUUCUGGUGGGUGGUAUCCAGUGACUUGGACCUCAGAUCAUUAGAGCAGUUGUCCCAGGUGUGCAGAGGAUUCUACAUCUGUGCCAGAGACCCUGAGAUAUGGUGUCUGGCCUGCUUGAAAGUUUGGGGUAGAAGCUGUAUUAAACUUGUUCCGUACACAUCAUGGAGAGAUAUGUUUUUAGAAUGGCCUCGUGUUUGGUUUGAUGGAGUAUAUAUCAGUAAAACUACAUACAUUUCUCAAGGGGAACAGUCUCUUGAUGGUUUCUAUAGAGCCUGGCACCAAGUGGAAUAUUACAGAUACAUAAAGUUCUUUCCUGAUGGCCAUGUGAUGAUGCUGAUGACCCCUGAAGAGCCUCAGACCAUCGUUCCCACUUAAGCACAAGGAAUGCCAGAACUGACGCCAUUCUACUGGGUCAUUAUCGCUUGUCACAAGAUACAAUCAGACCAAAGUAUUUGCCAUAAUAACUAAGAAAAAAGAAGAAAAACCACAUGUCUACAAAUAUAGAUAUUUUUGUUGUGUCCCUGUACAAGAAGCAGAUCAGAGUUUUCAUGUGGAGCUACAGCUAUGAUCCAGUGUCCACCAGAGGUUCAACAAACUCAUCUGGAUACAUUAUUCUUGUCAUAUCACUUACAAAUCAACUGGUGAGACUGCAGUCAGUGCUUUUGAGAUCAACAAGAUGUCUACCCCCUUGUUCUUCACCAGAGUCAGGAGCUACACAGCAUUCUCAGAAAGGCAUCUGUAG